GCGGCGGUAGUCUAGCCUGGUAGGACGCCAGCCUGCCACGCUGGUGACCCCGGGUUCAAAUCCCGGCCGCCGCA
rnacentral:tRNA from 2 species